rnacentral:rRNA from 1 species
AUUGAACGCUGGCGGCAGGCCUAACACAUGCAAGUCGAACGAGUUGCGGACUGGUGAGUAAUGUCUGGGAAACUGCCUGAUGGAGGGGGAUAACUACUGGAAACGGUAGCUAAUACCGCAUACCAUCAGAUGUGCCCAGAUGGGAUGAGCUUGUUGGUGGGGUAACGGCUCACCAAGGCGACGAUCCCUAGCUGGUCAGAGAGGAUGACCAGCCACACUGGAACUGAGACACGGUCGAGACGCCUACGGGAGGCAGCAGUGGGGAAUAUUGCACAAUGGGGGCGAGCCUGAUGCAGCCAUGCCGCGUGCAUGAAGAAGGCCUGCGGGGUGUAAAGUACUGUCAGUGGGGAGGCGUUACCCGCAGAAGAAGCACCGGCUAACUCCGUGCCAGCAGCCGCGGUAAUUC